UACGGGGGGGCAAGCGUUGUUCGGAAUUACUGGGCGUAAAGGGCUCGUAGGCGGCCAACUAAGUCAUACGUGAAAUCCCCCGGCUUAACCGGGGAACUGCGUCUGAUACUGGAUGGCUUGAGUUCGGGAGAGGGAUGCGGAAUUCCGAGGUGGUAGCGGUGAAAUGCGUAGAUAAUCUGGAGGAACACCGGUGGCGAAGGCGGCAUCCUGGACCGAUACUGACGCUGAGGAGCGAAAGCCAGGGGAGCAAACAGGG
rnacentral:rRNA from 1 species